CACGUAGGGCGCAAGCGUUGUCCGGAAUUACUGGGCGUAAAGGGCUCGUAGGCGGCCAACUAAGUCAGACGUGAAAUCCCUCGGCUUAACCGGGGAACUGCGUCUGAUACUGGAUGGCUUGAGGUUGGGAGAGGGAUGCGGAAUUCCAGGUGUAGCGGUGAAAUGCGUAGAUAUCUGGAGGAACACCGGUGGCGAAGGCGGCAUCCUGGACCAAUUCUGACGCUGAGGAGCGAAAGCCAGGGGAGCAAACGGGG
rnacentral:rRNA from 1 species